rnacentral:lncRNA from 10 species
GCCACGCAGAAAAAGGAGGGGUUGAAAAGGGAGUACCCAUCUGAUAUCUAGGCAGCAUGAAUUGGCCUUUGGUUCCCUGCCACCCGACCCUUUUCUCCUGCCUCUUACUGCUCUAGUGAUACCACUUAUGCUAUUGUCUAUGGCAGGUUUAUUUGUAUCUAUCCUGCUUAUUUAAAUAAUAAGAAGACCAUCGCAGAGGGAAGGCGAAUCCCCAUAAGUAAGGCUGUUGAAAAUCCUACAGCUACAGAGAUUCAAGAUGUAUGUUCAGCAGUUGGACUUAACGUAUUUCUUGAGAAAAAUAAAAUGUACUCUAGAGAAUGGAAUCGUGAUGUCCAAUACAGAGGCAGAGUCCGGGUCCAGCUCAAACAGGAAGAUGGGAGCCUCUGCCUUGUACAGUUCCCAUCACGUAAGUCAGUAAUGUUGUAUGCAGCAGAAAUGAUACCUAAACUAAAAACAAGGACACAAAAAACAGGAGGUGCUGACCAAAGUCUUCAACAAGGAGAGGGAAGUAAAAAAGGGAAAGGAAAGAAAAAGAAGUAACCUAGUAUCAGCAUCAAGUAUGUGGUACUACUGUAAGAGACAUGAAUGGAGACUUCUAAUUUGUAUCGGAGGGAAACAGAAGCUUUUUGUUUGCAUCAUUUAACUGAACUGUGAACCCUUGUGCCUCUCAUCUUUAUCAUCGGAGUUGACAGUGAAACAAAUUUACAUCAGAAGUUUGCAUCUCGCG